rnacentral:rRNA from 1 species
AUUGAACGCUAGCGGGAUGCCUUACACAUGCAAGUCGAACGGAGUGGCGAACGGGUGAGUAAUGUAUCGGAACGUGCCCAGUCGCGGGUGAUAACUACGCGAACGCGUAGCUAAUACCGCAUACUAUUGGAGCGGCCGAUGUCGGCUUUGCUAGUUGGUGGGGUAACGGCGUACCAAGGCGACGAUGCGUAGCUGGUUUGAGAGGAUGACCAGCCACACUGGGACGGAGACACGGCCCAGACUCCUACGGGAGGCAGCAGUGGGGAAGUUUGGACAAUGGGGGAAAGCCUGAUCCAGCCAUGCCGCGUGUGCGAUGAAGGCCUUCGGGUUGUAAAGCACUUUUGGCAGGAAAGCGGUACCUGCCGAAUAAGCACCGGCUAACUACGUGCCAGCAGCCGCGGUAAUUC